AGCAUUCUUCACAUUCCUGCAGUGACCAGGAAGAAGAGGAGCUUCAGAGCCAGUCUGCUCCCUUCAGGAAGAGUUCCAGGCAGAAGCAAACAGAACUCACCUCCCUGGGGAGCAGGAGUCAGCUGUGAACUGCUGUGGCCUUAGUUCAUGGUCUAGCACACCCAUCAGAACCUGCAGUAGCAGUUUCCUGUCUGUGUUCCUGCUGUAACCAGUUCCAGCGGUGAUCUCAUCACGGCCUGCCUCCCACUCCUUCUGGGGAGCUCAGCCCCUCAGAAGAGCCCUCCAGGGCACUGCCUGCUACCCAGAUGGAGAGCCCUUCAAGGCACUCCCUGCUACCCACAGCCCCUUCUAACCUUUCAGCAGCCCCCCAAGUCUUCCCUUAGUUGGGUCAGUUGAAGAUAGCUAGUGGACGGUGCUCCAUGCCUUUGUCCCGGGCAUGGCCUGGUGUUCCUUCUCUAGGUGUCUCUGAGCCCUUGCUUUUGUUCUGCCAACCUUCCUCCUUCCUGUCACUGACAGUUCAUCUGUCCUCUCACUCCCCUGCCAUUCUUUCAUGUUCUACAGCUGCCCGUCUUCCCUCUACAAGUGUUCUCUCCCUCCUGGCUCCUGUAUACUUACCCAGAGAGACUUUCACUUCGGGUGAAGCUGCCCAACUCUUUCUACCCCUGGAAGAGCAGACAUACACUCCUUAAAGCAACGUGGAGAAAACAGGAUGUUCUUUCAUCCCCUCACCAUUUCAGACAGUAGUCCUACCCUCUCCUUACAUCUCUGAACUCACCCUGCUGGUAUAUAGGUCAGUAGGUCACAGCUCAGCCUCCCAUCCUCACAUGGAUGGCAUUUACUCCCUGACUUUCUUCAGCACAAUACCUUCAUGAAGAGUCCUGUCUGCCUCACCCAGUUCAACUUUGCCACCUCCAGCUUCCCACCCAAGCCCAGCGUGUUCUAUGAUUUACGAUUGAACUCAGCUCAAACUAAUCACCCUGCCC
rnacentral:lncRNA from 1 species